GUGUGAGUUGGGAUUGGAUGGCAUGGGCUGGCAGGCUCCUUGCUUUGUGCAUUGAACUGUUAGUGCUCCAUCCGCUUCAGUUGUUUCCCCGACCAAUUUUCUUGGCUUGUGGGUUCGUUUGGUAUCCUGUGUUGAUUACCCGCGUGUGGGAAUUGAUAAGUCUCGUUGCACUCAUCCACCUUGUGCCUUAUGGAGUGCGGGGUGGACGCGCGGCGUGCUUCGUGUUCCUGGCGUGCUUCGUGCUGAGUUGCGUUGCCGUCUUGGCCCACGGAGUCUUCGCUCGUGCUCUCGGAUGCGGAACGUUUAUGCGUGGGCGUGGGGCCUCGGCCUUGAUCUGCCCGAGUUUUGCGCAUUUGUCCCUCGACACAAACGACAGCUGCUCCCGUCUCAAUCCCGCCUGCGGGUUGUGCGGGUGUCGGCGUCGCUAAGGAAUGC
rnacentral:misc_RNA from 1 species